rnacentral:rRNA from 1 species
UCGAGCGAGAAGGUGUAGCAAUACACUUGUAAAGCGGCGAACGGGUGAGGAAUACAUGGGUAAUCUACCAUCGAGUGGGGAAUAACCAACCGAAAGGUUGGCUAAUACCGCGUACGCCUCCGAGUCUUCGGGUUCGGAGGGAAAGCUGCACUGAGAGUGCAGCGCUCUUUGAUGAGCUCAUGUCCUAUCAGCUUGUUGGUAGGGUAACGGCCUACCAAGGCUUUGACGGGUAGCUGGUCUGAGAGGACGAUCAGCCACACUGGCACUGCGACACGGGCCAGACUCCUACGGGAGGCAGCAGUAAGGAAUAUUGCGCAAUGGGCGAAAGCCUGACGCAGCGACGCCGCGUGGGGGAUGAAGGUCUUCGGAUUGUAAACCCCUUUCGGGAGGGAAGAUGGAGCGAGCAAUCGUUCGGACGGUACCUCCAGAAGCAGCCACGGCCAACUUCGUGCCAGCAGCCGCGGUAAUACGAAGGUGGCAAGCGUUGUUCGGACUCACUGGGCGUACAGGGUGUGUAGGCGGUUUGGUAAGCCUUCUGUUAAAGCUUCGGGCCCAACCCGGAAAGCGCAGAGGGUACUGCCAGGCUAGAGGGUGGGAGAGGAGCGCGGAAUUCCCGGUGUAGCGGUGAAAUGCGUAGAGAUCGGGAGGAAGGCCGGUGGCGAAGGCGGCGCUCUGGAACAUACCUGACGCUGAGACACGAAAGCGUGGGGAGCAAACAGGAUUAGAUACCCUGGUAGUCCACGCCCUAAACUAUGGAUACUAAGUGUCGGCGGGUUACCGCCGGUGCCGCAGCUAACGCAUUAAGUAUCCCGCCUGGGAAGUACGGCCGC